AGUCGAACGGCAACUGGACUUCGGUCUGGUGGCGAGUGGCGAACAGGUGAAGUAAUGUAUCGGAACGUGCCUAGUAGCGGGGGAUAACUACGCGAAAGCGUAGCUAAUACCGCAUACGCCCUUCGGGAAAGCGGGGGACCUUCGGGCCUCGCACUAUUAGAGCAGCCGAUAUCGGAUUAGCUAGUUGGUGGGGUAACGGCUCACCAAGGCGACGAUCAGUAGCUGAGAGGACGACCAGCCGCACUGGGACUGAGACACGGCCCAGACUCUACGGGAGGCAGCAGUGGGGAAUUUUGGACAAUGGGGGAAACCUGAUCCAGCCAUCCCGCGUGUGCGAUGAAGGGCCUUCGGGUUGUAAAGCACUUUUGGCAGGAAAGAAACAGCCUGGGUCAACACCCGUGCAACUGACGGUACCUGCCAGAAUGGCACACCGGCUAACUACAUUGCCAGCAGCCGCGGUAAUACGUAGGGUGCAAGCGUUAAUCGGAAUUACUGGGCGUAAAGCGUGCGCAGGCGGUUCGGAAAGAAAAGAUGUAAAAUCCCAGAGCUUAACUUUGGAACUGCAUUUUUAACUACCGAGCUAAGAGUGUGUCAGGGAAUUGGAAUUCCGCGUGUAGCCAGUGAAAUGCGUAGAUAUGCGGAGGAACACCGAUGGCGAAGGCAGCCUCUGGGGAUAACACUGACGCUGUGCACAGCGUGGGGGCAAACAGGAUUAGAUACCCUGUUGGUCACGCCCUAAACGAUGUCAACUAGCUGUUGGGGCCUUCGGGCCUUGGUAGCGCAGCUAACGCGUGAAGUUGACCGCCUGGGGAGGUACGGUCGCAAGAUUAAAACUCAAAGGAAUUGACGGGGACCCGCACAAGCGGUGGAUGAUGUGGAUUAAUUCGAUGCAACGCGAAAAACCUUACCUACCCUUGACGUAUCUGGAAUCCCGAAGAAUUUGGGAGUGCUCGCAAGAGAACCGGAACACAGGUGCUGCAUGGCUGUCGUCAGCUCGUGUCGUGAGAUGUUGGGUUAAGUCCCGCAACGAGCGCAACCCUUGUCAUUAGUUGCUACGAAAAGGGCACUCUAAUGAGACUGCCGGUGACAAACCGGAGGAAGGUGGGGAUGACGUCAAAGUCCUCAUGGCCCUUAUGGGUAGGGCUUCACACGUCAUACAAUGGUCGGGACAGAGGGUCGCCAACCCGAGAGGCAAUCCCAGAAACCCGAUCGUAGUCCGGAUCGCAGUCUGCAGCUCGACUGCGUGAAGUCGGAAUCGCUAGUAAUCGCGGAUCAGCAUGUCACUUGUGAAUACGUUCCCAGGUCUUGUACCCACCGCCGUCACAUACCCUGUGGGAGUGGGUUUUUACCAGAAGUAGUUAGCCUAACCGUAAGGAGGGCGAUUACCACGGUAGGAUUCACUGACUGGGGUGAAGUCGUA
rnacentral:rRNA from 1 species